CCUACGGGGGGCAGCAGUGGGGGAUAUUGCACAAUGGGGGAAACCCUGAUGCAGCGACGCCGCGUGGGUGAAGAAGUAUUUCGGUAUGUAAAGCCCUAUCAGCAGGGAAGAAAGAAGACGGUACCUGACUAAGAAGCCCCGGCUAACUACGUGCCAGCAGCCGCGGUAAUACGUAGGGGGCGAGCGUUAUCCGGAUUCACUGGGUGUAAAGGGAGCGUAGACGGCCGUGCAAGCCAGGAGUGAAAGCCCGGGGCCCAACCCCGGGACUGCUGUUGGAACUGUGCGGCUGGAGUGCGGGAGGGGCAGGCGGAAGUCCUGGUGUAGCGGUGAAAUGCGUAGAUAUCAGGAGGAACACCGGCGGCGAAGGCGGCCUGCUGGACCGCGACUGACGUUGAGGCUCGAAAGCGUGGGGAGCGAACAGGAUUAGAUACCCCUGUAGUC
rnacentral:rRNA from 1 species